rnacentral:rRNA from 1 species
UUGGAGGGCAAGUCUGGUGCCAGCAGCCGCGGUAAUUCCAGCUCCAAUAGCGUAUAUUAAAGUUGUUGCAGUUAAAAAGCUCGUAGUUGAAUUUCGGAAUCGACGGAUUGGUCGCGCCUUCGGUGUGUACUGGUCUUGCCGGUUUCUCCCUUCUGACGAACCACGAUGUCAUUAAUUUGGUGUCGUGGGGAAUCAGGACUGUUACUUUGAAAAAAUUAGAGUGUUUAAAGCAGGCAUUAGCUUGAAUACAUUAGCAUGGAAUAAUGAAAUAGGACGUUUGAUCUUAUUUUGUUGGUUUCUAGGAUCGACGUAAUGAUUAAUAGGGAUAGUUGGGGGCAUUAGUAUUCAAUUGUCAGAGGUGAAAUUCUUGGAUUUAUUGAAGACUAACUACUGCGAAAGCAUUUGCCAAGGAUGUUUUCAUUAAUCAAGAACGAAAGUUAGGGGAUCGAAGACGAUCAGAUACCGUCGUAGUCUUAACCAUAAACUAUGCCGACUAGGGAUCGGAUGAUGUUAAUUUUUUAAUGACUCAUUCGGCACCUUACGGGAAAC